GCACAAGCGGCGGAGCAUGUGGAUUAAUUCGAUGCAACGCGAAGAACCUUACCUGGGCUUGACAUAUGCCGGAUCGGCGCAGAGAUGCGUUUUCCCUUGUGGUCGGUAUACAGGUGGUGCAUGGUUGUCGUCAGCUCGUGUCGUGAGAUGUUGGGUUAAGUCCCGCAACGAGCGCAACCCUUGUCUUGUGUUGCCAGCACGUUAUGGUGGGGACUCGCGAGAGACUGCCGGGGUUAACUCGGAGGAAGGUGGGGAUGACGUCAAAUCAUCAUGCCCCUUAUGUCCAGGGCUUCACACAUGCUACAAUGGUCGGUACAGUGGGUUGCUACACCGUGAGGUGGUGCUAAUCCCUUAAAGCCGGUCUCAGUUCGGAUUGGAGUCUGCAACUCGACUCCAUGAAGUCGGAGUCGCUAGUAAU
rnacentral:rRNA from 1 species